rnacentral:lncRNA from 1 species
CAGAUACGUGUCCUAAGGCAUUCAGCUGAAUGUUUGGGUUUUAGGGAAGGAAGGAUAUUCCAUGUGCAACAUUCAGUAUUGGAUGAUCUGGAUUCAGUACAGAAAGCCUGGACUUUUGAGCCUAAACAGGAUCUGAAGCAGAAGGAUGAAAAACAGAUCAACCAACAACAAGAAUCAACCAUCUUGGUUUCUCAUUUGUCAAUAAUGGGCAAUAGUCCUGCCCACAUAUCAGGGAAUGUAUAUGCCAUAAUUAAAUACUAAUGCUUCUAUCUUCUAAAAAAAAAAAAAAA